GCUCGGGUGGCGGAAUGGCAGACGCGCUGGACUUAGGAUCCAGUGCCGAGAGGCGUGCGGGUUCGAGUCCCGCCCCGAGCA
rnacentral:tRNA from 2 species